AGUGAACGCUGGCGGUAGGCCUAACACAUGCAAGUCGAACGGCAGCACAGUAAGAGCUUGCUCUUACGGGUGGCGAGUGGCGGACGGGUGAGGAAUACAUCGGAAUCUACUUUUUCGUGGGGGAUAACGUAGGGAAACUUACGCUAAUACCGCAUACGACCUACGGGUGAAAGCAGGGGAUCUUCGGACCUUGCGCGAUUGAAUGGGCUGAUGUCGGAUUAGCUAGUUGGCGGGGUAAAGGCCCACCAAGGCGACGAUCCGUAGCUGGUCUGAGAGGAUGAUCAGCCACACUGGAACUGAGACACGGUCCAGACUCCUACGGGAGGCAGCAGUGGGGAAUAUUGGACAAUGGGCGCAAGCCUGAUCCAGCCAUACCGCGUGGGUGAAGAAGGCCUUCGGGUUGUAAAGCCCUUUUGUUGGGAAAGAAAAGCAGCAGGUUAAUACCCCGCUGUUCUGACGGUACCCAAAGAAUAAGCACCGGCUAACUUCGUG
rnacentral:rRNA from 1 species